CGUUAAACUAGCUCUAAACAUUUACUCUUCCGCUUUGUGUGCUGGGAGGCGCGCGGUAUAUAUGCGGACAUGAUCAGCGUCUAAACCGCUAGCAGCUGAGAGCAAUUCAGACCCACGUGAAAUCCCAGCCAAUGACAGAACAGGGAGGAGACAUGACAGAAACAUAAACAAAACACACGUGUCCAGAUGUCAUUACAGUCAACAACGGGAAAGCAGGUGCUAGCGCAUUCGCGCUUAGUGCACGCUGCUUCAAGGGGGAAUCGUGACAGCUGAGGAUAGACUGAUGUAACCAGUGCACCAAAGUAACAGUGUUGGAAAGAUGCCACUCAGAAACAUGGCAGAGCCAAGGUCAUUACACCUGCCCUGGCAUUUCUUUCCCUCCAUGGAGGAUUUGGUAUCAUACAAGCAGCGGAGGUCCACAGUGCUUUGACACUGUCCCACAUGAAGAAAAGUGCACCAGCCCCUUGUGGAUGUUCAGCACAUUUGUGGUGACAUGGUGCAUUAUUCCAUGGAGCUUCAUCAUGCAGGUUUAGACCAUGUUGUUGGCUAUGUAUUUCACGAUGUAAGGAUGAACAAAUUGCAGCCUGAUGAAGUUUGUAGGUUCUUCUUUGAGUUAUUGUGAUGAAGCACUCAGCUCUUCUAAAGGCAAGUUAACAUCAACAAUUGCAACAAUUCUAUUGUAACAUUUAAUCUGGAUAUUUCUCUUCCAGACCAACAGAGGGCCCGAUUUUUUGAAUUUUGAAUCACUUUUUUGGUUGUUCCACUCAUUUCCUGUUUGUUCCCUAUAAAAAGCAAAUGGAACAAUCAUCAUGAAGUUUUACAGUUUGUUUGCUGUGUUUGUUGGAUCUGAGCUGUGGUUUGUUGGAAAUAUAACCUAUAAAUGACCUUGCCUAGUCCUGGCUUUGUCUAGCUCUCUGCAUUUAUCUGAACAUCUGAGCUCUGGUAUUUUUACCCUGCCUUGCCUCUGGACAACCUUUUGGAUUUGUCUAAUAUCAAAGGAUUUCCUGGGUGUGACCCUGACUGUUCUUGACCCUCUUUAGUCUGUUAAUAAAACUUUGCAUAUGAAUCCAUAUAACAUCUGAGAGCCAUUUAUUA
ensembl:lncRNA